AUGUUAAGAAAUAUAAUUACGAAAUGUUAUAUUACUGGAUUUAUCUUUAACGGGAUUUUUCUUUUGGUAGGAUCGUGUUCACAAGGAUGGGCAGCAUUAAAAAAUAACUGUUAUAGAAUUAACAAUGACAGUAAGCCAUGGAAUAUAGCCCAGCAACAUUGUAAGUUAUCCUUAAGUUCUGCACACCUUGUGGAUAUAAAAAAUGAAGAGGAAAAAAAUUUCAUAUUUUCGUAUCUCAAGUCAAACAAUCAAAUAAUAAUAUGGACUGGUCUUAAUGAUCUGAAGAAAGAAGGUCUUCUUACAUGGGCAGAUGGAUCAUCUUUUAGCCUUAAGAAAAAUGAAAUAUUUUCUCUUUCGUUGCUAUCUGAGAAUGAAACACAUUGCUACAUUUUACAGCAAAAUGCAACUGGAUCAAACUAUUUCUUUACAAGAUUUUUCUGUUAUGUUCCGUUGCCAUAUGUUUGUGAAUAUGAAUGUAAUUAUUUUUAUUAUUCUUUCUUAUAUUCAUGCAGCUUUUUAUUAUUUAAUUUUAAUUUAUUUCAUUAUUUUCAGUAUGGAAUUAUAAUUUCUAAUUAAAAAUAAUUAUCUUUUCUAUUUUUUCAGUACCUUCUCUGCAAGAAAGCUUUUUGCUUUAUUUAAAGGAUGUUGGAACAACUGAAGUUGUAUUUAGUUGGAAUAAUUUGAAUUUUUGGAAUAAUUUGAAUAAGUGGAUGAAAUUGGGAUAUAAGAUUAUCAUUAAAUAUUCUUUAGAUUAUACAGGAGAACAACGUUUUGAAAGCAUACCCCCAAAUACUACAGAAAAAGCAAUUACCCAACUGUUUCCUGGUCAUAUUUAUAGAUUUUUACUCUUCGCAAUAAAUGAAUGGGAGGCAAAAACUACUUUCAGUCCAAUAUUCACUAUAGAAACGCGUAAGUUACAAGACACCUGAAAAUAUAAUUUAAAAACUUUUUAAUUCUGUCAUUGGCAGAUAUUUUAUGAGAGUCUGGUAUUUUCUCAUAUAACUCUGGAGAUACCUCUAUAUUUAAUCAUUUUAGGCUUGGUGCGGUGGCUCAAGCCUGUCAUUCCAGCACUUUGGGAGGCUGAGGUGGGUGAAUUGCCUGAGGUCAGGAGUUCAAGACCAGCCUGGUUAACAUGGUGAAACCUCAUCUGUACAAAAAAUACAAAAAUUAGCCAGGUAUGGUGGUGCACGCUUGUAGUCCCAGCUACUUGGCAGGCUGAGGCAGGAGAAUCACUUGAACCCAGGAGGCAGAGGUUGCAGUGGGCUGAGAUUGUGCCACUGCACUCCAGCCUGGAUGACAAAUCAAGGUUCAGUGUCAAAUAGUAAUAAUAAUAAUAAAUUUGCAAUGAAUCUGUUUAUGUGUGGGUUUUCUGUUAAACUACAAACCUCAUGAGGACAUUAACUAUGACUUAAUUGUCUUAUAGUACCAGCUAAACUACUGCCUACCUCAUAGGGGAUGAUCAAUAAAUUUUUGUGGAGCUGAAUUUCCGAUAUGUGCUGAGAGCAGGAAAGGGGGAGCUAUGCAUCCCUGCCUUUAAUCGCCUUGCACUGGAGAUAAUUAGUAAAGAAUAAAAACAGAAGCAAACAAAACUAUACAGCAAAAUAAUAACCUAAAUAUCCAACCAGUGGUGCAUUUAAUAAAUACUGACUUGAAUUCAUACAGUAGAUGACAGGAGAAGACUCAUGGAAAUGAGAGGCUUAGACUCAAACUUGAAGGAGGAAAAAGCAUGUUGUGAGCAGAAGUGUAGAGAUAAGAAUUUGUAGAAGAAGCCUUGACUAGAAGAAGAUUGACUAGAGAAGACAAUUUCCUUAGGCAUGAGGGUAAAAUCAGUGUGGGAGGUAGAUGGUGCCAGACUUGGGAUUGGCAGGGGUAUCUGCCUCAGAUGCUUGGACUUGACCUUGGAAGCGAUGGAAAUUCAUUAAGACUAUAGUUUCUAACAAUUGUUUUACAUUUUACAAAGCACUUUCAAUUCAUUAUCUCAUUCAGUCCUUGCCUUAACCCUGAGAGUAGCUAUAUACAAAUGAGAAAACUGAACUUCCGGAAUGUUAAGUAAACUGACUAGAGUAACAUGCUUUGUUAAGUAACCGAGCUACACAAUAACCUAGAUGGUCUUAUUGUAACUCCUGAGCUGUUGCUCCUGAAGAAAGAAUCAAGAAUGUGUUAGCACAUGUAUAUUGAGGAGUGGGGGAUGGGUAUAGGUUUGAGGCCAUUUGCAAGGUACAAUAUUAAGAAAAUUAAUCUGGAAGCAUUAAUUAGGACAAUCACUGGCACUGAAUGAAAUGGCCAGAGUAGGGAAACAUUUCUGUAAAAGGAUGAAUGCCUGCGUUGCAGUGAUAAUGAGAAUGAAGGGUGAAUAACAAAGUCUCUGCUCUCUAGUCUGACAAGACAGAAGAGGUAAGAGACAUAUAUAAUGCAUGAUCGUUGAAUGCCAUACAUGCUGUUUUGGUGGUGAGGAUAGUAAAAUAAUUAUUGAACAAUAGCGUGUGGCAAACACCGUGCCAAGUGUUUUACAUUCUUCAUCUCAUUCAAUCUUCACAAAAGCUUUAUGAGGUACCUACUAAUAUAGUUCCCAUUUUACAGUCAGAGAGGGUAGAUAAUUUUCUCAGGGAGUGAAACUUGAAAGUGGAAGAGCCAGGACUCAAACCCAGUUUUUGUUUCUUUUCCAAGCUAGAGUAUUUGGAAAUACUGAGAAGCGAGAGAUUAUUCUGCCAAAUCACGUCACUAAUACAAUGUAUUUUUUGGUUGUUUUUAUCUCCCAGGCCCUUUGUCAGCCCAAAAUUUCAGAGUUACACGUGUUACCCCAACAGAAAUAUUUUUACACUGGGAUCCUCCAGAUCCUGUAUUUUUUCAUCAUUACCUUAUCACUAUUUUGGAUGUUGAAAACAAUACAUCAGAAGAGGUGUUUGUUGAAAAAUGCAACACAGCAACAAUAAUUAGAGACCUCAAGUCUUUUCAUCAUUAUCUAGUAUAUCUAUUCAGUGUAGCAGAAAGAGGAACUUUAAGUUGCUUGGAGAAACCACUUUCAGUCAUUACAGGUAAGCAUGGCUGCGUAUUGCCUUUUACUAAAAAAAUCUAAACUGAUAGUUCUGUUUCUGUGCGAUUUCACUGUUGUGCAAUAUGUCCAUGUAACCUGUACACUUACCCCAAAAUCUAAAAUAAUAAAAAUAGUUAACUG
rnacentral:lncRNA from 1 species